rnacentral:rRNA from 1 species
GACGAACGCUGGCGGCGUGCUUAACACAUGCAAGUCGAGCGGUAAGGCCCUUUCGGGGUACGACGAGCGGCGAACGGGUGAGUAACACGUGGGUGACCUGCCCUCAGCUCUGGGAUAAGCCUGGGAAACCGGGUCUAAUACUGGAUAUGACUCCAUGACGCAUGUUGUGGGGUGGAAAGCCUUGUGCGGCUGAGGAUGGGCCCGCGGCCUAUCAGCUUGUUGGUGGGGUGAUGGCCUACCAAGGCGACGACGGGUAGCCGGCCUGAGAGGG